rnacentral:rRNA from 1 species
UAAAGGGAGCGUAGACGGGAUGUUAAGUCAGCUGUGAAAUCCUGCGGCCCAACCGUAGCACUGCAGUUGAUACUGGCGUUCUUGAGUGCGUACGAGGUAUGUGGAAUUCGUGGUGUAGCGGUGAAAUGCUUAGAUAUCACGAAGAACUCCGAUUGCGAAGGCAGCGUACCAGUCCGUAACUGACGUUGAUGCUCGAAAGUGUGGGUAUCAAACAGGAUUAGAUACCCUGGUAGUCCACACGGUAAACGAUGGAUACUCGCUGUUGGCGAUAUAAUGUCAGCGGCCAAGUGAAAACGUUAAGUAUCCCACCUGGGGAGUACGCCGGCAACGGUGAAACUCAAAGGAAUUGACGGGGGCCCGCACAAGCGGAGGAACAUGUGGUUUAAUUCGAUGAUACGCGAGGAACCUUACCCGGGCUUAAAUUGCACUGGACAGACCCAGAGAUGGGUUUUUCUUCGGACCAGUGUGAAGGUGCUGCAUGGUUGUCGUCAGCUCGUGCCGUGAGGUGUCGGCUUAAGUGCCAUAACGAGCGCAACCCUUGCUUCCAGUUACCAUCAGGUCAUGCUGGGGACUCUGGAAGGACUGCCAUCGUAAGAUGUGAGGAAGGUGGGGAUGACGUCAAAUCAGCACGGCCCUUACGUCCGGGGCUACACACGUGUUACAAUGGGGGGUACAGAAGGCAGCUACCGGGCGACCGGAUGCCAAUCCCAAAAACCUCUCUCAGUUCGGACUGGAGUCUGCAACCCGACUCCACGAAGCUGGAUUCGCUAGUAAUCGCGCAUCAGCCAC